AUUGAACGCUGGCGGCAGGCCUAACACAUGCAAGUCGAACGAGUGGCGGACGGGUGAGUAAUGUCUGGGAAACUGCCCGAUGGAGGGGGAUAACUACUGGAAACGGUAGCUAAUACCGCAUACCAUCGGAUGUGCCCAGAUGGGAUUAGCUUGUAGGUGAGGUAACGGCUCACCUAGGCGACGAUCCCUAUCUGGGCUGAGAGGAUGACCAGCCACACUGGAACUGAGAAACGGGCAAGACGAGUACGGGAGGCAGCAGUGGGGAAUAGUGCACAAUGGGCGCAAGCAGGAUGCAGCCAUGCCGCGUGUAUGAAGAAGGCCUUAGGGUUGUAAAGGACGUUCAGCGGGGAGGCGUGACCCGCAGAAGAAGCACCGGCUAACUCCGUGCCAGCAGCCGCGGUAAUUC
rnacentral:rRNA from 1 species